CCUGACUUCCUUUGGCAAAUUUCCCUGCUCUUUUAUCAUCUUUUCCUAGUUGGACAGGAUCUUCUUCAAAGUCUCAUCAAUAGAGGCAAGUAUCUCAACUGUCACAGGGCUCUCUAUGCCUGAACGACUGUGGUCAAUGUGGACAACUUGGAUGUUGCAGCCGACAUCCAGUUGUUCAAACUAGCAAGUGUUUGUGUGAGCUGGUUGGCGGUUAAUAUGUGAGUCUUUGACUCCGGCAUCACCGGCUCAGCUGUGGUAGUAGGAGGGAGCUGUGGAUGGGCCUAGAGGCAAUAUCUCAGUGGUGGGCUGCUCAGUGGUAGUUGGCUCUUCAGAGCGGCCAGUUGCAGAAGAAGUAGAAGUUUGACUCUUCUUGGUGCCCUUAGGGUUGUCAGGACCCUUUUGAUCGUACCGGGAAUAAGGG
rnacentral:lncRNA from 1 species